rnacentral:rRNA from 1 species
UACGUAGGGGGCAAGCGUUGUCCGGAAUCAUUGGGCGUAAAGAGCGUGUAGGUUGUUCGAUAAGUCUGCUGUGAAAGUCCAGGGCUCAACCCUGGGAUGCCGGUGGAUACUGUCUGACUAGAGUACGGAAGAGGCGAGUGGAAUUCCCGGUGUAGCGGUGAAAUGCGUUGAUAUGUGUCGGAACACCAAUGGCGAAAGCAAUCUCCUGGACGCAAACUGACGCUGAGAUACGAAAGCCAAGGUAGCAAACAGG